ACAAGCAAGUCAUUAAAUGGAGAGAAGGGGAAAAGCAAGAGAGGUGAAGAAUUGACUAAGAGAGAUCAGAGAGACUCCACCUGCCUUACGAAACAAAGGAAUACUGCUGUGAGGUAACUUCCAGUAUUAGAACAAUGUGAUCAUUGUAAUCACAACGAGUGUCAUAAAUGUGGGGAUUCUUCUUUGAUGCCAUCAACUGACAACAGCAUGAGUUAAUUUACAAAUUGUAUUUUAACUGUAUUUCAUUGUGAUCACGUCCAAAAGCUAAGAGCUGAAGAGGUAAUUUUUUAACCAACUCCCUACCCCUACUGGAAGAGAAUUGGAGCCCAGCCUACUUUGCCUGCAGCUAUUUGGCUUGAAUGGGGCUACUCCCCAAAUAAGAAUCUAUUCAGUUUGAGCAAGGUUGGAAGAUUCAGAUCUUAGGAGUUUCAUCAAGAUCAAAGAGGGGGUUAAUAUCAGAACCAGGAUCAGAAGGUGUGCAAAUUAGCCUGUUGCAGCUGGUAAGCUCUUAAAUUGGCUCCUGGAUCUUUCUGAUUGUGCUGCAGAAGUGCCUGCCUAGGUUACUCAAGCAACAGAAAAUUAUUCACCCAGAGGCCAAGAAAUCUAACUUCCAUCAGACUGCAGUAGACAACAGAAAAAAGAAGAGAUCACAGGACUCCAGCAGAAAACACAACAGUGCCAAAUACAGAGAAAUCAUCACUUUACAGGAUACAGUCCCCCUCCUAUAAAUAUGGCCUACAUUCGUUGUGACUUAGAUGUAUAUUUUACAUUCAGCCAUAUUAAAAAACAUACAAUAUGCUUCUUGCUAGCUUACCAUGCUACUCUGUAUCAGUGAUCUGUCCUCUUCACUAUUUGCCAUUUCCCCAAUUUUUGUGUCAUCUGCAAAUUUUACAGAUAUUAUUCUCUGAAUUGUCUGUGCCUCUUAUAUGAGAAGAUGUAUCUAUCAGCUGUAGCUUCCCCACCUUGUGCUGUUGGUUGGAGACAAGAUUUAUAAUGAAAUCCAAUAUAUCUUUAUCAGACUGACAUCUUGCUACAGUACAGCAGUUUUCCUAACAAGGUGGAAGACUUGCAAAACAGAUCGCUAAAUAAAAUUCAUUCUUUUA